AUUGAACGCUGGCGGCAGGCUUAACACAUGCAAGUCGAGCGGGGGAAGGUAGCUUGCUACCGGACCUAGCGGCGGACGGGUGAGUAAUGCUUAGGAAUCUGCCUAUUAGUGGGGGACAACAUCUCGAAAGGGAUGCUAAUACCGCAUACGUCCUACGGGAGAAAGCAGGGGAUCUUCGGACCUUGCGCUAAUAGAUGAGCCUAAGUCGGAUUAGCUAGUUGGUGGGGCAAAGGCCUACCAAGGCGACGAUCUGUAGCGGGUCUGAGAGGAUGAUCCGACACACUGGGACUGAGACACGGCCCAGACUGCUACGGGAGGCAGCAGUGGGGAAUAUUGGACAAUGGGGGGAACCCUGAUCCAGCCAUGCCGCGUGUGUGAAGAAGGCCUUAUGGUUGUAAAGCACUUUAAGCGAGGAGGAGGCUCUUUUGGUUAAUACCCAAGAUGAGUGGACGUUACUCGCAGAAUAAGCACCGGCUAACUCUGUGCCAGCCGCCGCGGUAA
rnacentral:rRNA from 1 species